UACACCCAGUCGUUUCCCCAUUUAGUUUUAGGUUUAGAAAUCUAAAAUCCACCAUUUUCAAACCUUACUUCAACUUAGAUAGACCAUAGACAAAUCUCUCCAGCUCUCUCGCUGUAAGUUGCGCCUGGCUUCUAGCUUUUGCCUUCUCUCGCGGUUCGCAGUAGAUGGCAGAGAUUCAAAGUAAAAUAGGUGAAAAUGGAGGUUCAAAUGAAACCACAGCUACAAGUGAAGUUGAUUCAGUUUUAAGCAAUAAAAGGAAAGGCAUGAAAGAAAGAUCUGUUGUGUGGGAACACUUUCAAAAGCUGGUUGAUGGUCCUAAUGGGGUAACAAUUGUAAAAUGUAAAUACUGUGAUUUUACGAAGGAAGAUUUUAAUAUCAAAAAUGGCACGUCGGGAUUGAAAGGUCAUAUGAGCAGGUGAGUGAAAUUUCCCUAUAAUGUUGAAACAAAUCAAAGAUUGAUAGGCUUUCAACCAAUUUCAGGUGGUAAAAAGGAUGUGGGAAUUCCCGUCUCUUGGAAAUUUGAUCAAGAACUUUGCAGAAGGGCUUUAGCUAAAAUGAUAAUUCUUGAUGAGCAACCUUUUAGCCAUGUUGAAAAAAAAGGUUUUAAGAACUUUGUGAGUUCUUUAUGUCCUCAAUUUCGGGUUCCUUCCCGUCAUACAGUGACUAGGGAUUGUUUUGAGCUUUAUGGUGAAGAGAAACAGAAACUCAAGAAACUUUUCAAAGAAACAAAACAAAGAGUUUGUCUUACUACAGAUACAUGGACCUCAUUACAACAGAUCAAUUAUAUAUGCAUUAUGGCUCACUUUAUCGACAAGGAUUGGAAGAUGCACAAAAAAAUAAUAAACUUUGUCCAAUUACUAGUCAUAAAGGUGAUGAUAUAGUAAAUGUUAUUGCUAAGUGUUUGCUUGAUUGGGGUUUAGAUAAGAUCUUCACUGUUAAAAUGAUAACGCAAGUUCAAAUGAUGUCACAAUGAAAGAGUUGUCUAAGCAACUUACCAAAUGGGGAACUAAUUUGAUGGAGGGUAAACACCUCCAUAUGAGAUGUAUGGCUCACAUCCUCAAUCUUGUUGUUCAGAAUGGUUUGAAAGAAGUGGGUGAUUCUGUGAAACGCGUUAGACAAGCAGUAAGAUAUAUUAGGCAAUCUCCUGCGAGGUGGAAAAAGUUUAAAGAAUGUUGUGAAAUUGAAAAGAUUGCAUGUAAGAAAUCACUAUGUUUGGAUGUUCCUACUAGGUGGAACUCCACCUACUUGAUGUUAAAUGUGGCAAAAGAAUUCGAGCAUGCAUUUGCAAGUUAUGGUACUCUUGAUCAUGGACUGUUGCAUUAUCUUCUUACUCAUGUGUGUGAAGAUGGAAAAUCAGUAGGUUCACUUGUAAGUUCUGAUUGAGAAAGUGUGAGGCUCAUGGUGAGAUUUCUUGAAACUUUUUUUUUUGUACUUACCUUGAAGAUCUCUGGUUCACUUUAUGUUACAUCAAAUGUUCAUUUUGUUGAAAUAUGUGAACUUCAUUAUAAUUUCAAAAAGUUUGAUAGCAGAAGAUAACGUUGACUUGAGUUCAAUGGCAGGAAAGAUGAAAGAAAAAUUUGACAAGUAUUGGGGUACUCCAGAAAAGAUGAAUAAGAUGAUCUUUAUUGCGUGUAUUUUGGAUCCGCGCCAUAAGUUUGAGUAUGUUACUUAUGCACUUGUGAGCAUGUUCGGGGAAGAAACAAGAAAAAAUAUAGUAGGAGAAGUGGAAAGCUACAUGACUUCUUUGUUUAAUGAGUAUGCAAAGAAACACUCAAAAAACGAUCAUGCUUCAUCUUCUACAUCAAGUAGCUCCUCACAGACGUCAAGUGCAAGUAGUCAUGGAACUCAAUCUAAAACUUCAAAGGCAACAUUUUCACAACAAUACAAGAGGCACAAAGCUGAAAAUGGAAAUUCAGAUGCUAAAACAGAGUUAGAGAAGUAUCUAGAUGAAGAAUGUGAUGAUGGAGGUGAUGGUUUUGAUAUCUUGCUUUGGUGGAAAGUGAACAAACCUAGAUUUCCAAUGUUGCCGAGAUUGCUCAUGAUGCUUUGGCAAUUCAUGUGUCUAGUGUGGCAUCAAAGAGUGCUUUUAGUACGGGAGGCCGUAUUCUUGAUUGUUUUAGGAGCUCACUGACUCCCAAAUUAGUACAAGCUCUUGUGUGUUGUCAAGAUUGGCUUCGAAAUGAAUUACUUCCUGUUAGAGUUGAGGAAGAUAUAGAUUAUCUCGUGCAAUUUGAACUUGGCUUGCCCAAUGGAGCAGAGCCUUGCAUCGUUGAUGUAUAGUUGUUAAUUGCAACAUAUAUGCACGAAGUUACCAGAGAGCUUCAGGAGAAAUCUAGUUCCAUGUUAUUUUGUUAAAGCCUGUGCACCACCUAUUUUUGUCUAUGUGGUUAAUGGAUGUUAUACAGAAUGGUUUCUGUAAACAACACUUGUGAAAUACUUAUUUUGGUCACAUUUUGAGAAGCUUACUGGUGUCUGGUGCAUUCUUUAUGAUGAUGCAAGUUAGAGCUUUAGAGCAGACAUAUUUACAUAUUGAUGAAGUUUGUAAACAUUAUUCUAAUCUUAUGCUCCUCUUUAUAGAA